UUAACAAAAAUAGUAGCAGGCUGAAAUUGUUUUCUGGCUCAGCAAAUCCUGCUCUUUCUCAGGAAAUUGCUUGGUAUAUGGGCCUGGAACUGGGAAAGAUCAACAUAAAACGAUUCGAUUUGCUGAUGGUGAAAUUUAUGUUCAAUUGCAAGAGAGUGUUAGAGGAUGUGAUGUAUAUUUACUACAGCCCACUUGCCCCCCAGCAAAUGAGAAUCUCACGGAGCA
rnacentral:misc_RNA from 1 species